AUACCUGCGUGCAUGUUGUCUCGCAAGCCUGCACCUUUAAUAUUUUCCCUGUGGUUCUUGUUGCAUUGUCUCCUUUUGAGCAAUCAUUGGAAAGCACUAGGGAAACCUAGAGAGGGAGAAACUCCGAGACAAGCAGGGAUGUCAUUUUUGUCCCAAAGGAAAGGAUUGGAGUUUCUUAUCUGUGUAAUCAGAAGCUUUUCGUAAUCUUAUUUUAAGAUAAUCCACCAUGGGAUCCUUGAGCCUUGGCUUGUAUCAAGAGACAUGUAAGCUUUACUCCUUCUUCAGCCUGCCGUGGCUCAAGGGUUGUAUCAGGUAGACUACCAAGCAUCUUGUGUGAAGCUUUGGUUGAGAUGCCUGCCAGUUUACAGAGAUCAAUUAGUCAUAGCGUGGGAAGAGAAUUUUCAGUAGGUGCUCCAGGGGUUUAUUGAAUGGCACAAAGUAGGUUAAGAAGAGAAGGGAAUGAGAUAUACAAAGGUAUAUUAUCUUUUUAAAAAAGAUCCUUAUAUCACAUUCUUUCUGAUAAUUGUGGGAAUCUAAGGUAUGUUGAAAGCUUCGUUGAUAUGCCAAUGACAGCGUAUUUUCAAACCUACUUUAAGUGAUUUCUUACACAGCCAAUUCUUUGCUAAAAGGAGGCACAUUUUCUUUGCUGAAAAUAUUUGUUUUAGGUUGUUGGAGACUUCGUUGUUGCCACAAAUGAUUAUCUUGAAAUUCACAGGGUUGUGUUUGUAGCCUCAACUCCUCAGGACCCUCAGGCUGUCUGGUCGGGCUGAGCUUUAGAGUUCCAAACCGAAUUGUAAAGACGUGACGUUUAGGAAAUGGGGAGAUAAAUAAGAAUGUGUAACUAGAAAAUUGCUGUAUCCAGAAAGGCUUAAAUUCCCACAGCUAAAUAAAGUCUUGCUUUUAUACUUAAAAGGAUUAAUACUGAAGGAUGGAACCGCUACUACCUGCUUCUCCUAAAUGUCAAAACACUGAAAAUUACUGAGAAAUUAGCCGUCGCCAAGUGAGUUCCAAAUCCUGAGUGGAACUGAACGCCUUGUGGUUUUGUGUCUCCAGGAGUGUUGGCACGGUGCUCAGUAGGGUGUAUGCUGGGUAUUCGGAAGGAGAUAACAAGAGAAGGGAAGGAGAGAGGGCGAAAAGAAGCACAAAGGAAGCAGUAAGGGAGAAAGAAGUGUAAAAUAAAUAGACUGCAAGAGAGUUUGUUUUGUUAAAACACACGAGCGUGUGCGCACACAGACACACACAUCCACACAGCACACAGAGAAGUUGAGGGACUUGUCUAACUCACACAGUUGCUCACAGACCUGGAACCAGAAUAUGGGUAUAUCUUGAUACUAUAUCUCCUUCUUGUCUCUCAGCUUCACAGGGGAAAUUAUUCCACAAGCAUUCUGAAUUCUUUGAAAAGAAUUAUAAGAAAAUAAUGCGUAGAUUGAAAUGUCCUUGGAAGAGAAUCCAUGUCUCAAACUGAGUGAUUUAGGCUUAAGGGAGCCAACUAAGAUUUUGAAAGGCCCCAGAAAGGUUAUAUUUCAUAGAAGGGAAGAAAAUAUGUUGAGGACAUCUGGAAAGAAAUUCAAGUUAUUUCUCUGGUAUUUCCUUAAAAUAUUUUUAAUUUUGCGGCAAAAUAAUACACUGGCAGGCUCACAUCUUACAUUCUCAUCCAAAUUUGGACUUCUCAUCCCUCCUUAGCUUCAUUUUUUCCCCCUUUUUUCUUUCUUUUUGAAGUUCCCACAUCCUUCUUUUCUCUCCUUGCUUGCUCUGCUUGGAUUCCAACUCUGCUUGCUUUCACAACUGCCUUCGUAUUCGUUCUCACAUCUGUUAUUUUCCUUGUGCUUUUCCUUUGCUAUCUAUCCUGCAGCUCUUCCUCGCCUUUUCCCCUAACCUCCUUUCCCCUGGUACUUUUCUACUGGUUUAUUCGUCAGUUUCCUGUCUCUGGUUGGCAUUGAUCCCCGCCUUCCCCAGCCCCACCCCCCUCCCAGCCCCGCUCCCACGUGUUACUCUCCCUCCUCCAAGGUUUGCUAAGGGCAGACUGUCACUGUCUGAGAUAGGACUGAGCGCUUUCCCAUUAUGCAAUUCAGCAUACCCGGAAACAGCUGUUAGGACUGUUUUGUUUCCCCCGGAGGCUCACUUUUCCAGAAAACAAACUGCUACUGGAUGCUUCCGUGGCGUUGGAAGGUAGUUUGCUUGGAUUGGACUUGACAUUUUAGGAUCUGGAUUUCUGAUCACUUUCUUCUCAAAAUCUCAACCUCGAUUUGGGAAUCAAGUCAAAUUCUUGACUCAUGGUCAUUUUCUAAACAGUCCUCUGAAAUUUGGAAGAAUAAGUAUAUCUCUGAAACGGUUCAGUUUUCUGCCAAUCACGAGUUAUCCCCAGGAAGAUGUGGUUGGUUACUAAACACAUUUAAGAAACUGACACUUGUCUGGAUGUGAGUCCACACGUGUUAGAAAUGGCUUUUACUCUCAAGAACUUGUGCCCUCCUCUUGCUCA